UGAGGAAUAUUCCACAAUGGGCGAAAGCCUGAUGGAGCGACGCCGCGUGAGGGAUGAAGCCCUUUGGGGUGUAAACCUCUUUUUGUUGGGAUGAUACGCCGGGUAACCGGCUAGGACAGUACCAACAGAAUAAGCAUCGGCUAACUACGUGCCAGCAGCCGCGGUAAUACGUAGGAUGCAAGCGUUGUCCGGAUUUACUGGGCGUAAAGCGCGCGCAGGCGGCAGUGUAAGUAAGGUGUGAAAUCUCCCGGCUCAACCGGGAGGGUGCACUUUAGACUACACAGCUUGAGGUCGGUAGAGGGGGGUGGAAUUGCUGGUGUAGCGGUGAAAUGCGUAGAGAUCAGCAGGAACACCCGUGGCGAAGGCGGCCCCCUGGGCCGUACCUGACGCUGAGGCGCGAAGGCUAGGGGAGCGAACGGGAUUAGAUACCCCUGUAGUCC
rnacentral:rRNA from 1 species